UAUUUGUUACGUCGAUUCCGAUAUUGAUUAUUAUGAUAUUAUUUCUAUCGGUUUUCCGGUUCUUAGUUGGCAAACAUAUUCGGCUACGUUCAUUCAUAAUAAGGUCGCCAUAUUUACUUUGCGCCGCAUCCCACCGAGUGUCGAUUCGAACAUCGUCUCUUGUAUUAUUGAUGUUUUUCAUCUCAUCGCGGAUAAAUCAUCGAUGUGAAAUAUGGCCAGUGAAGUGUUUUUCGCACCAAGUAAAUACACAAUAGAGUUAAUUAACGCAUUACGACUAUCGUCGCUACUAACCGUAUUUUUUCAUAUUCGCAAUUAUUUUCGUGUUAAUUACAUCGCGUUGCAUCGCGUCGCUCAAAGAGAAAAGGAAAAAAGGACAGUGCGUGAAAGUGCCGCGAUGGGUUUUGAAGUGCCGGGUUGAAGCGAUGCAGAACUCGGAAAUUGGCAUCGUUGGUGGACAUUGUGCAAAGGAGACAAGUUAACGAUGACGUUGCGGUACAAUCCGAUAAGUGGAAUUCAUUUACAACGUAAAUUCGCGAGUGCCGUUAAAAGUAUCGCGUAUAACGAGUGUGGGAGUGCCGUUAAAAUUAUCGCGCGCAUUAGUUAACAAACUUUGACGACCCUUGACAACCUGAGAGGAGGAGGAGGCCUAGGAGAGGCAUCGAGCACCGGCAAAGUAACCCUAAGACAACGUGGUUUGAAUAUCAACUACUCUGCUGUUGCGCAUCGGUCAGUGAGUGAGAUUUUUUAUUUAAUUUUGAGGUAACGGAUUUACAUCGUAGUUGUAGAUUGUAGAAUGUAGAAUGUAGAGUGUAGAUUGUAGACUGUAGAUAUUUCGUUACCUUAAAACAUGGAUAGACUAGAAUAAAUUAAAUCAAACUUACUUAUUGUUAGAUUGGACUUUU